rnacentral:rRNA from 1 species
CCUACGGGAGACAGCAGUGAGGAAUAUUGGUCAAUGGACGCAAGUCUGAACCAGCCAUGCCGCGUGCAGGAAGACGGCUCUAUGAGUUGUAAACUGCUUUUGUACGAGGGUAAACGCAGAUACGCGUAUCUGUCUGAAAGUCUCGUACGAAUAAGGAUCGGCUAACUCCGUGCCAGCAGCCGCGGGAAUACGGAGGAUUCAAGCGUUAUCCGGAUUUAUUGGGUUUAAAGGGUGCGUAGGCGGUCGGAUAAGUCAGAGGUGAAAUCCCGAGGCUCAACUUCGGAAUUGCCUCUGAUACUGUUCGGCGAGAGAGUAGUUGCGGUAGGCGGAAUGUAUGGUGUAGCGGUGAAAUGCUUAGAGAUCAUACAGAACACCGAUUGCGAAGGCAGCUUACCAAGCUACUUCUGACGUUGAGGCACGAAAGCGUGGGGAGCAAACAGGAUUAGAUACCCUAGUAGUC